UACAGAGGAGCCAAGCGUUGUCCGGAUUGACUGGGCGUAAAGCGCACGCAGGCGGACGCGCGCGUGGGGUGUGAAAUCUGGCCGCUUAACGGCCAGGCGCCAUCCCAUACGGCGCGUCUGGAGUGAUGCAGAGGUCGAUGGAAUUGCCGGUGUAGGGGUGAAAUGCGUAGAGAUCGGCAGGAACACCCAGGGGGAAACCAGUCGACUGGGCAUCUACUGACGCUGAGGUGCGAGAGCGUGGGGAGCGAACCGG
rnacentral:rRNA from 1 species